rnacentral:rRNA from 1 species
AAAUUGAAGAGUUUGAUCAUGGCUCAGAUUGAACGCUGGCGGCAGGCCUAACACAUGCAAGUCGAACGGUAACAGGAAGCAGCUUGCUGCUUCGCUGACGAGUGGCGGACGGGUGAGUAAUGUCUGGGAAACUGCCUGAUGGAGGGGGAUAACUACUGGAAACGGUGGCUAAUACCGCAUAACGUCGCAAGAUCAAAGAGGGGGACCUUCGGGCCUCUUGCCAUCAGAUGUGCCCAGAUGGGAUUAGCUAGUUGGUGAGGUAACGGCUCACCAAGGCGACGAUCCCUAGCUGGUCUGAGAGGAUGACCAGCCACACUGGAACUGAGACACGGUCCAGACUCCUACGGGAGGCAGCAGUGGGGAAUAUUGCACAAUGGGCGCAAGCCUGAUGCAGCCAUGCCGCGUGUAUGAAGAAGGCCUUCGGGUUGUAAAGUACUUUCAGCGGGGAGGAAGGUGUUG